rnacentral:rRNA from 1 species
GACGAACGCUGGCGGCGUGCCUAACACAUGCAAGUCGAACGGGACUCAUAGGAACAAGGUUUCGGCCAAGGGAAUAUGAGUUUAGUGGCGAACGGGUGAGUAACGCGUGAGCAACCUGCCCUUCAGAGGGGGACAACAGUUGGAAACGACUGCUAAUACCGCAUGACGUACGGAGGAGGCAUCUUCUCCGUAUCAAAGAUUUAUCGCUGAAGGAUGGGCUCGCGUCUGAUUAGAUAGUUGGUGAGGUAACGGCUCACCAAGUCGACGAUCAGUAGCCGGACUGAGAGGUUGAACGGCCACAUUGGGACUGAGAUACGGCCCAGACUCCUACGGGAGGCAGCAGUGGGGAAUAUUGGGCAAUGGGGGCAACCC